rnacentral:rRNA from 1 species
AGGGCACCACCAGGAGUGGAGCCUGCGGCUUAAUUUGACUCAACACGGGAAAUCUCACCAGGCCCGGACACCGGAAGGAUUGACAGAUUGAGAGCCCUUUCUUGAUUCGGUGGGUGGUGGUGCAUGGCCGUUCUUAGUUGGUGGAGCGAUUUGUCUGGUUAAUUCCGAUAACGAACUAGACUCUGGCCUACUAACUAGACGUUGGAUCCCUUUGUGGGUCCAUCGCAGCUUCUUAGAGGGACGGGCGGCGUUUAGCCGCACGAGAUUGAGCAAUAACAGGUCUGUGAUGCCCUUAGAUGUUCUGGGCUGCACGCGCGCUACACUGAAGGAAUCAGCGUGUGUUCCCUAUCCGAAAGGAUUGGGAAACCCGUUGAACCUCCUUCGUGAUGGGGAUUGGGGAUUGCAAUUAUUCCCCAUGAACGAGGAAUUCCCAGUAGGCGCGAGUCAUAAGCUUGCGUCGAUUACGUCCCUGCCCUUUGUACACACCGCCCGUCGCUACUACCGAUCGAGUGAUUUAGU